UACGGAGGGUGCGAGCGUUGUCCGGAAUCACUGGGCGUAAAGGGCGCGUAGGCGGCGCGGGAAGUCCGUGGUGAAAGCCCGAGGCUCAACUUCGGGUCGGCCAUGGAUACUCCUGGGCUCGAGCACUGUAGAGGCAGGUGGAAUUCCGGGUGUAGCGGUGGAAUGCGUAGAGAUCCGGAAGAACACCGGUGGCGAAGGCGGUUCUCUGGGCCUGACCUGACGCUGAGGAGCGAAAGCGUGGGGAGCGAACAGG
rnacentral:rRNA from 1 species